CCCAAACGGCACCCAGUACUGUUCCUCCAUCUCCCUCAUCCGAACCAGCCCCAAACUCGCUUGAAACUCACACGAGUUACACCUAACACUCGGCUCAUGCGCUCCCCCCUUCUCUCCUCUUGCCAUAUAUUAUAACGGUUUUUGACACCAAGAAGAUUCCCUCCCUCACUCGCCCGUUUUCAUGCUAUAUCACGUGAUUGGAAGAUUUUGGAAGACGAGCGUUGGAUGAGUGAGAGAAGUCGGAUCGAUUUCAUUCAAUCCGCGCCUCACAUUCAUCAUGUGCUUGUUUUCAAAGGGACCUUAUCUGAUUUUUUGAAGAGAGAAAAAAAGAAUCUAGAGGGAAGGAUAUAAAAGUAUUUUCAGAGUAAGGGAAAGAGGAGGAUAUUUUUCUUUAGAGAUUUUCGAAAAAUCAGGAGAGGUAAAAGUUCUAGGGUUCUUUGAGUUUUCUUCAGAUUUUUGACGUUUGGUUUGCAUUUCAGAAAAACAAAAAUACAAAUGGUUUGAGUUUAAUUUUUGUUCGAGUUUUGUUUCAUUUCAAAAGAAAUCAGAAAAUUACCAAAACUUCCAGCACUUUUUUUUAUUUCUGGUCCUUAAGAAUGGAGUUUGAUUGAAGUUUAAGUUAGAGUUUGUGUUUGGUUUCGGAAUUCUGAUGUCGUUUUUGAGUUAUAUCCGAGUUUUUGCGAUUUGGUUUGGCUUGCGAUUUCUGCUCGAUAUUGUUGUUGUUUUCAGUUGGAAUUUUUGGGGCAAAACAUCGUAAUCUUCUGUUAUCAGUGAAAGAAUUUCGAAUUAACAAGUUCAUCUCUUCUCCCUUCACUUAAUCUGAUGCGUUAUGGGUUAAAUUAAUAUGUGCCAUUGGGUUUACUGAUUUCUUCUUAGUUGGUUAUCCUAUUUUGGCUGUAGGUUUCUUCCUCGUUUUCUUCUGUUGAUUUCUGCGAGUGUUCAAGUGGAUCCUGAACUUGAUUGGGCUUGUGGCUGCUAUAGCACUAUAUGAUGAAUCUAUGUUUCACUGUUUGACACACUCCAUGAAAUGAAGUAGUAUUCUGC
rnacentral:lncRNA from 1 species